GGGUUGUGAGGUUAAGCGACUAAGCGUACACGGUGGAUGCCCUGGCAGUCAGAGGCGAUGAAGGGCGUGCUAAUCUGCGAUAAGCGCCGGUAAGGUGAUAUGAACCGUUAUAACCGGCGAUACCCGAAUGGGGAAACCCAGUGUGACUCGUCACACUAUCAUUAACUGAAUCCAUAGGUUAAUGAGGCGAACCGGGGGAACUGAAACAUCUAAGUACCCCGAGGAAAAGAAAUCAACCGAGAUUCCCCCAGUAGCGGCGAGCGAACGGGGAGGAGCCCAGAGCCUGAAUCAGCAUGUGUGUUAGUGGAAGCGUCUGGAAAGGCGCGCGAUACAGGGUGACAGCCCCGUACACAAAAGCGCAUGUGCUGUGAGCUCGAUGAGUAGGGCGGGACACGUGGUAUCCUGUCUGAAUAUGGGGGGACCAUCCUCCAAGGCUAAAUACUCCUGACUGACCGAUAGUGAACCAGUACCGUGAGGGAAAGGCGAAAAGAACCCCGGCGAGGGGAGUGAAAAAGAACCUGAAACCGUGUACGUACAAGCAGUGGGAGCCCCACCACCAAAGCAUUUGCUGUACCGCGUUGACGGAGCGAAGCGACGUCAAACCGAUAAAACAGCAGUGUAAAGUGAGCCGCAGGGCGCUUUGCGCGACAGCGCAAAGGCAGGCGGUUUCGCGUAGCGAAAGCGAAUGCUUUGGGGUGGGGUGACUGCGUACCUUUUGUAUAAUGGGUCAGCGACUUAUAUUCUGUAGCAAGGUUAACCGAAUAGGGGAGCCGGAGGGAAACCGAGUCUUAAUUGGGCGUUAAGUUGCAGGGUAUAGACCCGAAACCCGGUGAUCUAGCCAUGGGCAGGUUGAAGGUUGGGUAACACUAACUGGAGGACCGAACCGACUAAUGUUGAAAAAUUAGCGGAUGACCUGUGGCUGGGGGUGAAAGGCCAAUCAAACCGGGAGAUAGCUGGUUCUCCCCGAAAGCUAUUUAGGUAGCGCCUCGUGAAUUCAUCUCCGGGGGUAGAGCACUGUUUCGGCUAGGGGGCCAUCCCGGCUUACCAACCCGAUGCAAACUGCGAAUACCGGAGAAUGUUAUCACGGGAGACACACGGCGGGUGCUAACGUCCGUCGUGAAGAGGGAAACAACCCAGACCGCCAGCUAAGGUCCCAAAGUCAUGGUUAAGUGGGAAACGAUGUGGGAAGGCCCAGACAGCCAGGAUGUUGGCUUAGAAGCAGCCAUCAUUUAAAGAAAGCGUAAUAGCUCACUGGUCGAGUCGGCCUGCGCGGAAGAUGUAACGGGGCUAAACCAUGCACCGAAGCUGCGGCAGCGACACUGUGUGUUGUUGGGUAGGGGAGCGUUCUGUAAGCCUGUGAAGGUGUGUCGUGAGGCAUGCUGGAGGUAUCAGAAGUGCGAAUGCUGACAUAAGUAACGAUAAAGCGGGUGAAAAGCCCGCUCGCCGGAAGACCAAGGGUUCCUGUCCAACGUUAAUCGGGGCAGGGUGAGUCGACCCCUAAGGCGAGGCCGAAAGGCGUAGUCGAUGGGAAACGGGUUAAUAUUCCCGUACUUGGUGUUACUGCGAAGGGGGGACGGAGAAGGCUAUGUUGGCCGGGCGACGGUUGUCCCGGUUUAAGCGUGUAGGUGUGUGUUCCAGGUAAAUCCGGUUCACUUUAACACUGAGGCGUGACGACGAGGCACUACGGUGCUGAAGCAACAAAUGCCCUGCUUCCAGGAAAAGCCUCUAAGCAUCAGGUAACAUCAAAUCGUACCCCAAACCGACACAGGUGGUCAGGUAGAGAAUACCAAGGCGCUUGAGAGAACUCGGGUGAAGGAACUAGGCAAAAUGGUGCCGUAACUUCGGGAGAAGGCACGCUGACACGUAGGUGAAGUGAUUUACUCAUGGAGCUGAAGUCAGUCGAAGAUACCAGCUGGCUGCAACUGUUUAUUAAAAACACAGCACUGUGCAAACACGAAAGUGGACGUAUACGGUGUGACGCCUGCCCGGUGCCGGAAGGUUAAUUGAUGGGGUCAGCGCAAGCGAAGCUCCUGAUCGAAGCCCCGGUAAACGGCGGCCGUAACUAUAACGGUCCUAAGGUAGCGAAAUUCCUUGUCGGGUAAGUUCCGACCUGCACGAAUGGCGUAAUGAUGGCCAGGCUGUCUCCACCCGAGACUCAGUGAAAUUGAACUCGCUGUGAAGAUGCAGUGUACCCGCGGCAAGACGGAAAGACCCCGUGAACCUUUACUAUAGCUUGACACUGAACAUUGAGCCUUGAUGUGUAGGAUAGGUGGGAGGCUUUGAAGUGUGGACGCCAGUCUGCAUGGAGCCGACCUUGAAAUACCACCCUUUAAUGUUUGAUGUUCUAACGUGGACCCGUUACCCGGGUUGCGGACAGUGUCUGGUGGGUAGUUUGACUGGGGCGGUCUCCUCCUAAAGAGUAACGGAGGAGCACGAAGGUUGGCUAAUCCUGGUCGGACAUCAGGAGGUUAGUGCAAUGGCAUAAGCCAGCUUGACUGCGAGCGUGACGGCGCGAGCAGGUGCGAAAGCAGGUCAUAGUGAUCCGGUGGUUCUGAAUGGAAGGGCCAUCGCUCAACGGAUAAAAGGUACUCCGGGGAUAACAGGCUGAUACCGCCCAAGAGUUCAUAUCGACGGCGGUGUUUGGCACCUCGAUGUCGGCUCAUCACAUCCUGGGGCUGAAGUAGGUCCCAAGGGUAUGGCUGUUCGCCAUUUAAAGUGGUACGCGAGCUGGGUUUAGAACGUCGUGAGACAGUUCGGUCCCUAUCUGCCGUGGGCGCUGGAGAACUGAGGGGGGCUGCUCCUAGUACGAGAGGACCGGAGUGGACGCAUCACUGGUGUUCGGGUUGUCAUGCCAAUGGCACUGCCCGGUAGCUAAAUGCGGAAGAGAUAAGUGCUGAAAGCAUCUAAGCACGAAACUUGCCCCGAGAUGAGUUCUCCCUGAGACUUUAGGUCUCCUGAAGGAACGUUGAAGACGACGACGUUGAUAGGCCGGGUGUGUAAGCGCAGCGAUGCGUUGAGCUAACCGGUACUAAUGAACCGUGAGGCUUAACCUUACAACGCCGAAG
rnacentral:rRNA from 2 species